rfam:Angiostrongylus costaricensis strain Costa Rica genome assembly, scaffold: ACOC_contig0003366
AGCAGCGUGGCGCAGUGGAAGCGUGCUGGGCCCAUAACCCAGAGAUCGGUGCAUCGAAGCCACUCGCUGCUA